UUCCGUGAAUGUGUGGUUGUCUGUCGGAGUUUUUUUGUGAACCCUGAAGGCAUCUGUUUCCAUGUGACAAGUUUCCAGCCAAUCGUGCUUUUCUAAAUGUGAGCUACGAGUGACGUGCAUGCGUUUGCCUCAGAACGACGGUCAUGAUUGGCUGAAUAGUCCGCUGUGCCCGCCCCCCAUGAGCGAGGGAAAGAAGAAAAACAAAGAAGAGAAGAAGAAGCAGAGCCGGUCUGGAAGAAGCGCGGAAAAGAAACUGAGAGAACCUGGAGAAGGAGGAGGAGGAGGAGAGGCUGAGAAGACGGCGGGGCAGAGUCGAAGUGAGCAGCAUCGCCUACAAACUAUAGAAAAGAGCGGGAGAGCCAGUUCGCCGGCUGGUUGAGACCUGUUGCAGGCUCGGAAAGCAAAGCUGUCUGCCGGUGCUGAAGACAGAGCUGGUGGCCCAAAGAACUGUAUUAAAAAACACAGCAAAUCCAAAAAACUCAAAGAGAAAGAAUCCUGUGAACGUGUGUUUUCCAAGGUAAAUCUAAUGAAAACAAAACCACCAAACCGACUUAUCACAGGCGCCCUUAAUGGGCUCAUGCACACAUCAGAGAGUGUGAAGAUGGCAGGUGGAUGUGCCGGUUUGAAGCCAACAACCACAAUGCUGCGGUCCAUGACAACAUGAGAUGUAAACAGUAAGAGGACUGCCCCCACCCAGCAGGGUGCAGCAGACUCAGACAGGGACUCACAGCUGGAGACUGAACCUGAAGAAAACUGCCAAAGGCGGAGACGUGACGUGACGCAGCCCGGACAGCUGAUGGAGACCGAGGCGAUCAGGGCUACACACCACUUAGUGUUUGUCCACAUUAGAUGUUGGACUUUUGGUUCACUCGGUAAAAACACAUGUAGCCCUUGGCCUGUUGUCUGCUGUGCUUCCCUCUUUUCCAGGUUAUUAUACAGCAGGUUAUAUAUGCACUUUAUUUAAAGUUAUAAGCUGUUAAAUGCUGUUUUUGUUGAUUUUAUGAGUUGUUGUCAUUUUUGAGGACAGAGACAUGUUGUAGCUCUGAAAAUAAAAUGUAAUAUGUGAAGCCAGAUCUUUAUUUUCUUGUCAGUUAUCAUGAAUACUGUUUCUCUUUGUCUCUCUGCCUGUUAGACGCUAUUCAACACUAGAGUGACUAAAGCGCAUCAAUAAACUUGUUAUUUUGGUUAUGACGGCUGUCCGAUAAUUUCCCUCCAAAUACGAUCAUUUGAUGUCUGUGGUACGAUAAUCCUACAUUUCCCAGCUGGCAACGCGGGUUCAGUGAGUUGUUGAGUUGGAGCCACUUUAUAAACUGUGUGAAACUCUGUCUCUGAUGCCAUCAAACUAUCAAUCAGAAUAUAAUGACAAAUCAAUUUGCUUCACAGUAAACUUCAUGAUUUUAAUAGGUAAAUUCCACAUCCACAAGAGUAAAUUUUCCAAGUCCCUCCCAAACUUUAAUGUCUUCACAAAUGAAGAUUCCUUGAAACUGUUGCCAAAUAAGAAAAGUGAGCGCACACUAUUAUACCUAAAGUCGUUUUCACGUACCCCCAAAUAAGAAAUGCCUUGUAUACACUAAUUUAUUUUAUUUCAAUUACAACUAUUAUUUCUUUAUUAAGAUUUUUU